UACGUAGGGGGCAAGCGUUGUCCGGAUUUAUUGGGCGUAAAGCGCGUGUAGGCGGCCAGGUAGUCCGUUGGUUGAAACUCGAGGCUCAACCUCGAGACGUCGACGAAACCAUCUGGCUAGAGUCCGGAAGAGGAGAGUGGAAUUCCUGGUGUAGCGGUGAAAUGCGCAGAUAUCAGGAAGAACACCCGUGGCGAAGGCGGCUCUCGUGGUACGUGACUGACGCUGAGACGCGAAAGCGUGGGGAGUGAACAGG
rnacentral:rRNA from 1 species